rnacentral:rRNA from 1 species
UACGAAGGGGGCUAGCGUUGCUCGGAAUCACUGGGCGUAAAGCGCACGUAGGCGGCUUGUUAAGUCAGGGGUGAAAGCCUGGAGCUCAACUCCAGAACUGCCUUUGAAACUACAUCGCUAGAAUCAUGGAGAGGUUAGUGGAAUUCCGAGUGUAGAGGUGAAAUUCGUAGAUAUUCGGAAGAACACCAGUGGCGAAGGCGACUAACUGGACAUGUAUUGACGCUGAGGUGCGAAAGCGUGGGGAGCAAACAGG